rnacentral:lncRNA from 1 species
UAUAAAACGAAAUAGUCUUUUAGAGUGAGAAAUCUAAAGACAAUCUAAUAUACUUUCCUUCUCCCAAUACAGCAUCUGACUACGUGGACUUUACCAAUCUGCACUGAAUGACGAUCAACUCCUGAACUAAUGAUUUGAUGUGUUUUUGGGUAUUGCACAAAAGCCAAACUGUUUCUGCUAUUGUCUACAUCAGUGAAUUCUCAACCUUUUUUUGUUGCGGCACACUUUUAAUGAUAUCCAUAAAAGUCCUCUUAUUACUACUGCCUAACCAUUGUAAUAAUAUUAAUGACUUCGUAGAGAGCACUAUUCGGCAGUUACACUUUAAUAACACUUUUUAUUUACACAACACUAAUGUUUUCGGUAAUUCCAAGCCACCCUCUUCAGGUUAUAACAGUUUUAGAAUUUCAAAGUUAAUAGAACAAACGAACACUUAAUAGGCAGAUAACCUACCGAACGUUAG